GUCACAAUACGUUUUCUUCUCAUGUCAUAAUACGCUUUUACAAUUUAUAUGGACAAAAUCGUAAUAUAAACGAGGUGGUACUAAUUUGGGUCUGCACGUCCUUAGUCCCUAAUUUUUGUCUCCUGCUUUUUUGGGUAAUCAUCCCGCACUCCGCAAACUUUCAUCUGUUAUUAAUUAUUAAGUGAAAAAAGGAUUCUAGAGGCCCUCUCUCUCCCGCACGAGGACGCGAGACACCCCGGAACUAGGGUUCCUUUCACCGCCGCGCCCCCAUGGCACCGCUUACGGCAGCCCUCGCCACCAUCUUCCGUCCCCAAUCACCGUUGUAGUCCCCCGCCGCCGGUAAAUAGCCUUGACGGAGCCCUAGCCACUGGCUCCCUAGAGCACGGCGCCCGUCGAUAGCCACGAUGGAGCGCCGGUGGAUGUCCUGAUUGUGGGUGAGGACCCCGCCGAGGCGACUAACCUCGACACCGCGCGGCACCCCCAGGCCCCAGCAUCUCUGCCAUCGCCUCGCGUUGCCGUGCGCAAGGAUACCACCACCUCUCCCUGACAUCUCUGUCUCCACUCCCCCGAGGUGUGCUGCUCGCCGGCUCCACACCUCUAUCCUCUCCCAUCCAGUGUUGCUCACGACCUGCUACAGAGAUCAAACUUUGCGUCUCCCGUGCAGGCCCUCCUCGCGGACAGCCUCCAACCCACACAAGCUCCCCUAUUCUGGCUCUGCAGCCUCCCAUGGCUGAGCAACAAAGAGAUCGAGAGGGGAAUACUCAGUUGAUUUUUCAGGGAUUGGAGAUUGAUCUUAUUUGUUUGGUUGUCCGUGGAUUCAAAGAUGAAGUAGAUAGUAAAGGCCAAGGCAACGGGCAUCAGACAUGUUAAUUUUUCUGAACUCUACUAUGGAACAUGUGUUUCUGAAUUUCUGCCAAAGUGUCAACUGUGGAUCGUACAUAGUAGUGCUCUUUUGAUAGUAGGUGGUCUGAAUUUCUGUCAAAGUGAUAAUGUGGAUCGUACAUAGUAGUGCUCUUUUGAUAGUAGGUGGUCGAAGUGUCGAAACACUCGAACAAGCACAAACUGAUCCUAGCAUCGAAGUGCUUUGUUUUUCCUUUGCAUCAAACUAUUUUUGUGUGCUCCAGAGUUCAGUGGGACAUAUGAUUGUCGUGCUCCAGCCCGUUUAAUCUCAGGUUUGAUCUUUUUUCAGCUCUUAUAUGUAUAGUACUUGGUUAUACAAACAUGGAACUGAUGGAUAUGUUGGAUUAAUGGAUGCAUAAUUACACACCUGAUGAUGAAUAGAUGGAAUUAAUGGAUGCAUACAUAUAUGAUUAGACCCUUAAUAAGCUUAGAUGUACUAUGGUUUAUUGCAUUCUCAGUAGGUUGAUAAUUACUGUAUAUGAAAACAAAAUUGCGCGUUCUUAUUUUGUUGGAAUAUUCCCACAAGGCCACACCGGCAAGAUAAUUAGUUUCUUUUUUAUGAAACCAAUAGCUAAUCUAUAUAUUUGCAGGUGAUUCAGAUGAGCAUCUCCCGACUUUAUGCAACAAUCAAAUUUAUUUGAAGUACCAAUAUUUGCAAUAAACAUUCUUAAUCCAUAUAAGUUACGGGAUUUAUAAAUCUUUUCACCACUUCAUAUGUUUGGAGGGGAACAUCUAAGAAACCGAUGGAUCACGUAUAUGUUUUAUGGCAUAAAUACAAUAUAAUUAAUGUGAAAACCACUGAUGUGUCUUAGGAUCACAUGAUCUGUUUAAAAUAAUAUAUAAUUUGCACUCAGCGGAAAAAACUCCCAAAAAAGUUCGCAUGUAAAUGACUGAAUAUUAUAUCCAUAUUUCAGUUUUGUCUCAUUGACAAAAGUAAUCAUUGCGAUGCACCUGAAGAUAUAUACGAUUAUCAUGGUAAGUAUUUCCGUUCCGUGCAGGGUCUUGCGAGCGGGGAAGGAGAGCACCUGUGAGGUAAGAAGGCACCAAUGCAACACGCUGUGAAACCUCGGCAUCACAGACGGGAUUCUGUCCAAGGAUGCAGAUUUUGAAGUGUCAAGUAUGAUGAUUUGGUUGGAUGCCUUCUGCCUCUGAGCUUCACUGAACACUUGCGUCCACCACCAACCUGCACAUCCGGAAGAAGAGAAGCAAGCUUUCUCCCUCAACCACAACCCGCAUCCAUGAUCCCAGUGCAAAGCUCCUGGUCAACAAUGCCUCACAUGAUGUGUCAUGGAGCCGCCACCCACUGAUGCCUACCACCUCGAUCCACUCAGUUAUGCCCCUCAAUGGAUCUGGGGAGAGAACCCAUGACUAUGAGCAUUGAGAAGAUUAGGUGCGGCAAUUAGGUGUGUGGUCACAAAAAUGAUUGUUUCAUGCUUCUCUUCGCCCAUCUGUAAUGUGUACUCAUCCAGAGCAAUCUAUAAUUUUUUUGGCAUAGUCUGUAGCUUUGAAUUAACUCCGUAGCCUCCAUGUUCUUAAAUAAUUUAAGUGGGUUAAUUAAGGGACUGCAUUGCAAUUUGUUUUAGGGUUGGAAGUCAAUAUACUUUAACUUAGGUUAGUGCUUUGUUUGGGAUAGAAAAGUUGGUAAGCUAUUGGUAAU
rnacentral:lncRNA from 1 species